AGUGAACGCUGGCGGUAGGCCUAACACAUGCAAGUCGAACGGCAGCACAGUAAGAGCUUGCUCUUACGGGUGGCGAGUGGCGGACGGGUGAGGAAUACAUCGGAAUCUACUUUUUCGUGGGGGAUAACGUAGGGAAACUUACGCUAAUACCGCAUACGACCUACGGGUGAAAGCAGGGGAUCUUCGGACCUUGCGCGAUUGAAUGAGCCGAUGUCGGAUUAGCUAGUUGGCGGGGUAAAGGCCCACCAAGGCGACGAUCCGUAGCUGGUCUGAGAGGAUGAUCAGCCACACUGGAACUGAGACACGGUCCAGACUCCUACGGGAGGCAGCAGUGGGGAAUAUUGGACAAUGGGCGCAAGCCUGAUCCAGCCAUACCGCGUGGGUGAAGAAGGCCUUCGGGUUGUAAAGCCCUUUUGGUUGGGAAGAAAAGCAGCAAGUUAAUACCCCGCUGUUCUGACGGUACCCAAAGAAUAAGCACCGGCUAACUUCGUG
rnacentral:rRNA from 1 species